UACGUAGGGGGCUAGCGUUGUCCGGAUUCAUUGGGCGUAAAGAGCGUGUAGGCGGCCAGGUAGGUCUGCUGUGAAAACUCGAGGCUCAACCUCGAGACGUCGGCGGAAACCAUCUGGCUAGAGUCCGGAAGAGGAGAGUGGAAUUCCUGGUGUAGCGGUGAAAUGCGCAGAUAUCAGGAAGAACACCCGUGGCGAAGGCGGCUCUCUAGUACGGUACUGACGCUGAGACGCGAAAGCGUGGGGAGCGAACAGG
rnacentral:rRNA from 1 species